CGGAGUGGCCAUGUUACACCCUCAGGGCUGGGCCUCUUGCCUGCCAAAACCAUCACCACUGUCCUGAGAUGCGUUGGAGGUACCAGAUCUGGUCUCUGAGCUUCCCUGCAUAAACCUGGAGUGGAAUGUCUCCUGCCUGCCAGCAAUGCCAGCCGAACGUGCCUGCUCCUCAAGCUGGCUCUGGAGGAUCCGAUGCCAGCCACGGCCCACGUGUGAGGGAAAGGUUCGCAGCCACUCCUAUAGAGGGGGGCAUUAAGAUCAACGUUGAGCAGAAACCUGCCGUGGUGCUUUGGCAGGACUUUACAGCCCUGCUGCGCAGGUGCAAAUGGCUGCUCUGCCGGGGAGCGUCCUGAGGAUGCAAACCCUCUGUUCCCCAGCCAAGGUGAGCACCACUGCAGCCCCUGGAGAUGCGAGCUGGAAGAGCUGCUCCACACGUGACCUCCUUUCAUCACCCUUUCGUGGCCAUCUCAGGAAGCUCACUGCUGCGCUGAGGCUGUAUUUUGAAGAUGCUGACAUCUGUAAAUGACUCAUGGCAACUGAGACAGUCUGGUUGAGGGCAAAGCUGGCACUUCCUACCCACGGGCCUUUCUGACUGUCCACAAAACUGCAUUGCUACAGAGAAAAUAUCGCUUACUUCUGAAAAACACCUAAAAAUCAAAGCUGGAUUUGAUCUGACCUCACAUGUAGUUUCUAGACAUCUGAAAUGGUACUAUUUGAUGACUACUGUGAAUCCUGCCCAGCUCCAGAGGAACUGCAGCUGCUCUAUGGCAAGGCACAGACGAUGGGCAGAGGAGGAUGUGUCCCUGCCUCACCACCAGGCACAAGACAGCAGCCUGGCUGUCGGCAUCACCACCUGCAGCUGCCACACAGCUGUGUCUCACCCCCAGGUGGGCUGGGGUGAUGGUGCACCUCCUCCUCCUCCCACCCAGCAUCCCUCUCCACAGGGUGGGCAAGGGGAGCUCCGUUGACUUUCUGCCAUAACAGAGGCAGGAGGCUGGAGCAAGUCCCUGCUUUGGGAAGGGGCCACAGGUCAGGUCCUACAGCUGCUGUAAAUAGUUGCUGCACUAUUUAAUUCAAUGCAGCCUUUAUUUACAUCAGCUGAUCUGGCCCCACUUCUCCUGUUUUCCUGUGCUUGUUUCCUUUAAGAUAUAUAUUUUAUAGCCUUGUAAAACACCACUGUAUAUUCCUGUAUAAACUAGUAAAG